rnacentral:tRNA from 1 species
GCAUCUAUGGCUGAAUGGUUAAAGCGCCCAACUCAUAAUUGGAAAAUUCAUAGGUUCA